CCGAAGGCUCUUUUCAGAGCCACCAAUGCAGACACACAGAAGUAAG
rfam:Tupaia chinensis contig172487, whole genome shotgun sequence.